UUUCAGAAAGGUCUCAACCCAUUACUGGGUGGGAGUUUGCGCUGGCGCAAGUACAAUGUGCUUGAUUGCUAUGCUUUAUUAUUCCCUUAGAAAAAGUAAAGCAGGAAAUUUGUAAUCUAUCAAUAUAUAAGAAGAAUUGAAGGUGUUUUUCAGGUAAGUCUUGAGGUAGGUUUUACACAAUCUAUUCUAAGGUGAGUACUAUUGGUUCUUCUAGGUAUUAUUAUGUAUAAUUUUUGUAAACAAUGUUUUAACUGUUUUUCUUCUCCCUAGGAAUCCAUCCUUUCACCGAGAACUGUGAUUGGCCGCUUGUCAUCAAUUCGCUCCACACGCUCUGGACCAAUCCUUCUGGCUUUCCAGUCCUUCAAUUCUCAUAUUUAAAACCCCAUGUGCUAUAAAAUGUCUAUAUAGGACCGUAUCUUCAUUUCCUCUCCUGACUUGGUAUUUAUGUUGUGUAAGGCGAGUUUGCAUGGAGUGUUUAGUUUCCCCUAUGUAUAGUUUUUGGCACCUCGCACACCUAAUGGCAUAGACCGUAUUAGGAGUCCCAAAAGCUAUUUGGUUCCUAAUCGGUACCCCUCUACCUGAAUACCUAUUCCCAAUAUAGGUAUUCCAGUUAAAGUGAUUAUUUUCCUCGGGAGAUACCGCCGGUUUUCCAUUUAGGUUGGAAUGCACCAGUCUAUCCUUGAGAUUCUUGUUUCUCCUAUAUGCAGAAAUUAGUUUAAAACGCCCCAAGUCUCCCAAGUCUGCCUGGGCCUGUUGGAAAUGAAGCCUCAAUUGACCACCCAAACGUCCCAAAGGUUGAACCGCCGAGAGUAACCCCGAGGCCUGAGGGCUUUAAACAGGAUGGAUGUCGCCUCCUCCACAUCACUCAGGUAAGUACAAAUACGAUGGAAUCUUAUUAACUGUGAUUUUACUAGUCCUCUGUAGGUAUGUUUAGGAUGAUAGCUCUGUUUGUGAAGCAAGGCAUGUCUAUCGGUCUCCUUA